rnacentral:rRNA from 1 species
AUGAACGCUGGCGGCGUGCCUCAUACAUGCAAGUCGAGCGAACAGACGAGGAGCUUGCUCCUCUGACGUUAGCGGCGGACGGGUGAGUAACACGUGGAUAACCUACCUAUAAGACUGGGAUAACUUCGGGAAACCGGAGCUAAUACCGGAUAAUAUAUUGAACCGCAUGGUUCAAUAGUGAAAGACGGUUUUGCUGUCACUUAUAGAUGGAUCCGCGCCGCAUUAGCUAGUUGGUAAGGUAACGGCUUACCAAGGCAACGAUGCGUAGCCGACCUGAGAGGGUGAUCGGCCACACUGGAACUGAGACACGGUCCAGACUCCUACGGGAGGCAGCAGUAGGGAAUCUUCCGCAAUGGGCGAAAGCCUGACGGAGCAACGCCGCGUGAGUGAUGAAGGUCUUCGGAUCGUAAAACUCUGUUAUUAGGGAAGAACAAAUGUGUAAGUAACUAUGCACGUCUUGACGGUACCCAAUCAGAAAGCCACGGCUAACUACGUG